UGCCUAAUACAUGCAAGUCGAGCGAACUGCAUUAGAAGCUUGCUUCUAUGACGUUAGCCGGCGGACGGGUGAGUAACACGUGGGCAACCUGCCUGUAAGACUGGGAUAACUUCGGGAAACCGAAGCUAAUACCGGAUAGGAUCUUCUCCUUCAUGGGAGAUGAUUGAAAGAUGGUUUCGGCUAUCACUUACAGAUGGGCCCGCGGUGCAUUAGCUAGUUGGUGAGGUAACGGCUCACCAAGGCAACGAUGCAUAGCCGACCUGAGAGGGUGAUCGGCCACACUGGGACUGAGACACGGCCCAGACUCCUACGGGAGGCAGCAGUAGGGAAUCUUCCGCAAUGGACGAAAGUCUGACGGAGCAACGCCGCGUGAGUGAUGAAGGCUUUCGGGUCGUAAAACUCUGUUGUUAGGGAAGAACAAGUACGAGAGUAACUGCUCGUACCUUGACGGUACCUAACCAGAAAGCCACGGCUAACUACGUG
rnacentral:rRNA from 1 species